rnacentral:piRNA from 1 species
UAGUGGUCAUCACACAGAGAUGGAGCUU